rnacentral:rRNA from 1 species
UACUAUACUAAGAUGAUAGAAAAACUAGAAUAUUAAAAGAUAUAGUCUUAAAAUUCAAAGAAUUUGGCGGUAAUUUAGUCUUUUCAGAGGAACCUGUUUUUUAAUCGAUAAACCACGAAGAAUCUUACUUGCUUUUGUAAAUUAUAAGUUUGUAUACCGUCAUUAUCAGAUAAUAUUUAGAGAUAUAAUUAUUGUAUAUUUAAAUAAUAAGAAAAAUUAGAUCAAGGUGCAGCUAAUAAGUAAGUUAAAAUGGGUUACAAUUAAUUAUUGUUAAUAAUGGAUAAAGACUUGAAAAAGUCUUUGGAAGGAGGAUUUGAUUGUAAUUAAAAUUAGUAUGAUUAAAAGAUAUAAGCUCUAAAUUAU